UACGUAGGUGACCAGCGUUGUCCGGAUUUACUGGGCGUAAAGAGCGCGCAGGCGGUCGUUCAAGUCGAGUGUGAAAGCCCCCGGCUCAACUGGGGAGGGUCAUUCGAUACUGAUCGACUGGAAGGCAGGAGAGGGAAGCGGAAUUCCCGGUGUAGUGGUGAAAUGCGUAGAUAUCUGGAGGAACACCGGUGGCGAAGGCGGAUCUCUGGGCCUUACCUGACGCUGAGGCGCGAAAGCUAGGGGAGCGAACAGG
rnacentral:rRNA from 1 species